ensembl:lincRNA
UCCCUCCCAGCGCAGCCCAGGGGUCUAGCACAGUGUUUCCCAGACUCUGUCAUUUGCGGGUGAAUUUCCAGGCCAGGAUCCACUCCAGCAAGAGAAGGCAGGGGAUGAGUCCCCUGGGGGCCUGGGACAGGCUGCUGCCCUGGAGGCAGCCUGGGUGUUGAGGUUCUCUGGCUCCCCAAACACCCCUCAGCUGCUGUUCCAAUCACUUUCCAAGACAGGAAGUGACAGCGGUACUGGCUGCUCCACAUACUGGGGCUGCUGGGCGUCUUUUCUGUACCUCACCGGCACCCGUUCUUCCUCUGCCUGGGAGGACUGGGUAAGAGACUGCAAGCCACAGUGGCACAGAAGUCCUCCUCCUUUCCCGACCUGUCACUUUGAGCAUCAUCAACUACAUCUUCCAUCUUCUUAUUUUAUUCCUCACCUGCCAGGCCAGUUCAUUACUCACUCAAGCAUUCCACACGUGCUGUGGGGCAGGGCUCACGGCCUGAGUACCACAUCCUGGGGGUUAGCCUGUGCCCUCUGCUUGACCACAGUCCCCAAGGCGAUGCCUCUGUGUCUUCCGAAACCUAACCCGGGAGACUUGGCUACAAACCCCAAGUGGGGCCAAUACCGCCUGGAAAUUGAGACUUGGCACUUAGCAGGCUGGUGCAUGAGGGUCAGAAUCUUUUGCAAAUUGGAAGGGGACUAAGACAGAAAGAGGGGGGAGAGGCUAUGAAAAGAGAUGUAAAAAGAAUUAAGAUGUAUUAUGUAUAUAUAUGAACUCCCCACAACAAAUGUAAUCAUUACGUACUGCGAGCGUGGAUGAAUAGUUUUUUUUUUUUUUUUUUUUUUUUUUUUUUUUUUUUUUUAAAAUUUUUUUUUUUUUUUUUUUUUUUUUUUUUUUUGUGGUACCGGGGAUCGAACUCCAGUCCUUGCGCUUGCGAGGCAGGCCACCAAACCACUGAGCUAAAUCCCCAGCCCGAAUAACUUUUUAAUGUAAUUAUCACAAGAAUUGACAAAUGGAAUCACAUCCAAUUAAAAGCUUCUACAAAGCAAUGAAAACAAUUAACAAAGUGAAGACACCGUAAGAGACUGGGAGAAAAAUCUUUGCCAACUACGCUUCUGACAGAAGACUAAUAUCCAGAACAUUUAAAGAACUCAGAAAACGGGAAGGUGAACUGAGCACACACUUCUCAAAUAAGGAGGUACAAAGGACCACAAAGUGUGUGGGAAACAUGCUCCACAUCCUUAGCUAUCAGGCAGCGCAGAUGAGAACUGCAGUGAGGUUCCAGCUCACCCAGGCAGAAUGCCUGUCUCCGGGAACUCAGGAUAUAAUAAAUGCCGGCGAAGAUGUGGGGGAAAGGAACACUUCCGCACUGUUGGGGGAAUGCAAGUGCAGCCACUAUGGAAACGCGUGUGGAGGCUCCCAAAUAACUAAAAGCAGAGCUACCAUAUGAUGCAGUUAUGCCACUCCUGUGUAAAAAGAAAGAAAGAAAUUAAAGCCAGCACACUACGGAGACAGCUCCAUGCACAAUGCAGCACAAUUCACAGCUUUGGAAUCAGCCUAGGGUUUGGUCAGCAGGUAAGUGGAAAAAGAAAAUGUGGUGUGUAUAUACAGCAUACCGUAUUAAAGGGGAACAAAACCGUGUCACCUGCAGGGAAAUGGACGAAAGUGGCUAUCAUGUUCCGUGAAAUAAGCCAGACUCGUGUGGCAUGUUUUAUCUCAUAUGUGGAAUCCAGGGGGAAAAGAUGACGUGAAAGUGGAAGUGAGUCUGUUAGGGAAGAGGAAAGGGGUGGGGAGAGGACGGGGAGCUAUCUGAGGCAGGGAACAGCGAGGAGAGAUAGGAUCCAAGUUAGACGCAUGUAUGAGAAUGUGACGGUAAAGCCCAAUAUUCAGUAUGAUUACUUUGCUCUGAUUUUAGAAAGAGUUAAAAAUAACUGCCAAGAAUUUCAUGAUGCAUCAGCCCUGCUGAGCUGCGCAGACUGAAGAAGGUUCAGAGGUGAAGACAGUCAUCUGCACAAAGAACCGUAGAGACCCCUAAACGUACAGCUCCAGGGCCAGAGUAGCCUCGAUUCCUGGCAGAUUGGUAACUUCUGGUCCCGCGGACUGGUUCUUGAAUUCCUGUGAACCUUGCUAUAUUUUGUAACCAAGUUCGUAAAUCAUAUUUGGGACGUCUUCGUCACAAAUACCCAACACCCAGAAUUUAAGGGAGUAGAGGUUUAUUUUGGCUUACGUUUCAGUCCACAGUCGCUGACUCCAAGGCGGGACUUCAUGGUAACAAGGCAUAGUGGACAGAAUACAGAAAGUGUAAAAAGAAGAGCUAGAAAGGGAGACAUAAAUAACCAGGUCAUUCCCACAGGGUCCUCCUCUUCCACCCAGGUCCCGCCUCCUAACCCCCAGCACACACGGCUCAGGGGAGACAUAUUGUUCUGAACCAUGACAGGAGGGUUCCUGUUUCUGGGUGGAAUGAUGCCUGGGUCUGUGGACUCUGAAGAAGGCAUUUUGCUGCAGGUCAGUUAAACUACUGGACUCAUUCUUCCUACCUAGCCAUCGUCAUGCAACUGCCAUUCUAAUCUGUAACCGAAGCAAACGUAGCCAUCAUUUUGUAUGUCAAAGCUGAAUUUGUCAGCCCCA